CCAUGGGAACCAAGACACAAACUAACAUUCAUAUAACUAUGCAUUUAUUUUGUAUAUUUCACAGGAUGGAGGUAUGGGGUGAUGGAGGAAAGUAGGAAGGAGAAGAGAACACCAUCUGCUCGAUCCAAGCCAGGAGUCAGAGAAAUCUCUUCUACAGGUUUUCUGCUUGAACACGGCUUAACGCACCCUUCAUGAGGAUAUAACAUGGCAAGUUUAGAAUGUUGCUAUCUUUUUUUUUUUUUUCUUUUUUUUUGGAAAAUUUUUUAAUGAUGGUGUUGAACUGUACUAAAGAGAACUAAUGAAGCAGGAUAAGGAAAUGCUGAUCUAAGAGAGUCUAUAAACACUAGUGUAGAUUAUAUCCUUAAAGAGCUUGUGUUAAUAAGGCAAGUGAGCUCAAGUGUUAUCAGAGGGAACAAACUAAAUUACAUUGUAAACUGAUUUAUUAAGUCUACCUCCUUACACUCACUUGCCAGAUGACAUGAAGAUAUAAGAGAUUUGAUUUCUCUCCUACACACUGCCAUGUAGACCAAUGCUCAACAUCUGGUGGAUUAUGGUCUGGAAGUAUUUCACCAGCACGACCACUCGAACAUACUGUAACAGAACUGAUAACCACUUCCUUACACUAUAUAAACGAAGUACUGUAAAGAAGCUACGCAAAAAAAUAAAAACAGACUUGCAUAUUUUGUUUGUAAGACCUU